GCCAGGCAUGGUGGUGCAUGCCUGUAAUCCUACUCACUCAGGAGGCUGAGGCAAGAGGAUUGCAAGUUUAAGCGGUCUAAGCAACUUAGCAAGACCCUGGCUCAA
rnacentral:sRNA from 1 species